rnacentral:ncRNA from 16 species
GUAAAGGGACGGCUAAAGUGUGCGUGACAACUUCAUCCCGCCGCGGAACGGGGAAAGACCGGUGCGAAUCCGGCGCUGACCCGCAACCGUGACCACGGCCCGCCCCCGCGGCCGGCCGUGCG